rnacentral:rRNA from 1 species
AUUGAACGCUGGCGGCAAGCCUAACACAUGCAAGUCGAACGAGUGGCGGACGGGUGAGUAAUGUCUGGGAAACUGCCUGUUGGAGGGGGAUAACUACUGGAAAAGGUAGCUAAUACCGCAUACCAUCGGAUGUGCCCAGAUGGGAUUAGCUAGUUGUGGGGGUAAAGGAUCACCAAGGCGACGAUCCCUAGCUGGUCUGAGAGGAUGACCAGCCACACUGGAAUUGAGACACGGUCCAGACUCGGACGGGAGGAAGCAGUGGGGAAUAUUGCACAAUGGGGGCAAGCCUGAUGCAGCCAUGCCGCGUGUAUGAAGAAGGCCUUCGGGUUGUAAAGUACUUUCAGCGGGGAGGCGUUACCCGCAGAAGAAGCACCGGCUAACUCCGUGCCAGCAGCCGCGGUAAUUC